CGCCGCGUGCGGGAAGAAGGCCUUCGGGUUGUAAACCGCUUUCAGGAGGGACGAAGCCACUCGGGUUAAUAGCCUAGACGGGUGACGGUACCUCCAGAAGAAGCCCCGGCUAACUACGUGCCAGCAGCCGCGGUAAUACGUAGGGGGCUAGCGUUGUCCGGAUUUAUUGGGCGUAAAGAGCGCGUAGGCGGCUAGGUAAGUCCGACGUGAAAUCUGGAGGCUCAACCUCCAGCGGUCGUUGGAAACUACUUGGCUAGAGACCGGAAGAGGAGUAGUGGAAUUCCUGGUGUAGCGGUGAAAUGCGCAGAUAUCAGGAAGAACACCGAUGGCGAAAGCAGCUCUCUGGGACGGUACUGACGCUGAGGCGCGAAAGCGUGGGGAGCGAACAGGAUUAGAUACCCUGGUAGUCCACGCCGUAAACGAUGGGUGCUAGGUGUGAGCGGUGUCGACUCCGCUCGUGCCGAAGCUAACGCAUUAAGCACCCCGCCUGGGGAGUACGGCCGCAAGGCUA
rnacentral:rRNA from 1 species